AUGUUAGCAAUCCUCGCCUUCAUCACUGUUAUAGCCAGUCGCCCUAAGAAGGGAAACAACAAACCACAGAUGUCUGGGUACAGUAAUGCCACUUACUCCAGCAUUAAAAUGGAACUGCAGCCCCAUCAGGACAUCCCUGAUAUUAGUACGGAUCUGUAUGUGUCCAGGGCAGAGAAAGGAGAGGUCCAAACCCUUCUGUUGCAGCACGGUACCAGAGCUGACACCUACUCGUACCGCAACCAGUCUUCGUUUACACACUUUUGAUCUGGGCUUUGUGCUGGUCUGAUUCAAGUCCAAUGCUAAUAGUUUGCUAAAAAUGUAUGGUUUGAGAUUAAUAUACAUGUAAAGUAACCUUGAACUAUAAAUUAUUUCACUGAUGUACAAGUAUACUGAACAAAAAUAUAAAUGCAACAUGCAACAAUUUCAAUAAUUUUACUGAGUUACAGUUCCUAUAAGGAAAUCAGUCAAUUGAAAUAAAUUCAUUAGGCCCUAAUCUAUGGAUUUCACAUGACUGGGGAGGGGCGCAGCCAGUGGGGAGUCAGGCCCAGCCAAUCAGAAUGAGUUUUUCCCCACAAAAGGUCUUUAUUACACACUGAAAUACUCCUCAGUUUAAUCAGCUGUCCGGGUGGCUGGUCUCAGACGAUCUAGCAGGUGAAGAAGCCGGAUGAGGAGGUCCUGGGCUGGAGUCGUUACACGUGAUCUGUGGUUGUGAGGCCGGUUUGAUGUACUGCCAAAUUCUCUAAAACAACAUUGGAGGUGGCUUAUGGUAGAGAAAUAAACAUAACAUUCUCUGUCAACAGCUCUGGGAGACAUUCCUGCAGUCAGCAUGCCAAUUGCACACUCCCUCAAAACUUGAGACAUCUGUGGCAUUGUGCACAUUUUAGAGUGGCCUUUAAUUGUCCCGAGCACAAGGUGCACAUGUGUAAUGAUCAUGCUGUUUAAUCAGCUUCUUGAUAUGCCACAGCUGUCAGGUGGAUAGAUUAUCUUGGCAAAGGAGAAAUGCUCACUAACAGGGAUGUCAACACAUUUGUGUAUAAAAUUUGAGAGAAUAAGCUCAUUUGGAAUAAGAUUCUACC
rnacentral:lncRNA from 8 species